GUGCUCGCUUGGGCAGCACAUACACUAAAAUUGGAACAAUACAGAGAAGAUGAGCAUGCCCCUGUGUAUGGGUGACCACAGAUUCAUGAGGUGUUCCAUAUUUUU
ensembl:snRNA U6 U6 spliceosomal RNA